rnacentral:rRNA from 1 species
UACGUAGAGUGCGAGCGUUAAUCGGAAUUACUGGGCGUAAAGCGUGCGCAGGCGGUUUUGUAAGCCAGAUGUGAAAUCCCCGGGCUUAACCUGGGAAUGGCAUUUGGGACUGCAAGGCUGGAGUGCGGCAGAGGAGACUGGAAUUCCUGGUGUAGCAGUGAAAUGCGUAGAUAUCAGGAGGAAUACCGAUGGCGAAGGCAGGUCUCUGGGCUGACACUGACGCUCAUGCACGAAAGCGUGGGGAGCAAACAGG